GAUGAACGCUGGCGGCGUGCUUAACACAUGCAAGUCGAACGAUGAAAGCGGGAGCUUGCUCCUGCUGGAUUAGUGGCGAACGGGUGAGUAACACGUGAGCAAUCUGCCCCGAACUCUGGGAUAAGCGUUGGAAACGACGUCUAAUACCGGAUAGGACGCGCGAAGGCAUCUUCUGCGCGUGGAAAGAAUUUCGGUUCGGGAUUAGCUCGCGGCCUAUCAGCUAGUUGGUGAGGUAACGGCUCACCAAGGGGACGACGGGUAGCCGGCCUGAGAGGGUGACCGGCCACACUGGGACUGAGACACGGCCCAGACUCCUACGGGAGGCAGCAGUGGGGAAUAAUGCACAAUGGGCGCAAGCCUGAUGCAGCAACGCCGCGUGAGGGACGACGGCCUUCGGGUUGUAAACCUCUUUUAGCAGGGAAGAAGCGAAAGUGACGGUACCUGCAGAAAAAGCACCGGCUAACUACGUGCCAGCCGCCGCCGUAACAC
rnacentral:rRNA from 1 species